UGCCCUAGUAACGGCGAGUGAAGCGGCAACAGCUCAAAUUUGAAAUCUGGCUCUUUCAGGGUCCGAGUUGUAAUUUGCAGAGGGCGCUUUGGCGUUGGCAGCGGUCCAAGUUCUUUGGAACAGGACGUCACAGAGGGUGAGAAUCCCGUACGUGGUCGCUAACCUUCGCCGUGUAAAGCCCCUUCGACGAGUCGAGUUGUUUGGGAAUGCAGCUCUAAAUGGGAGGUAAAUUUCUUCUAAAGCUAAAUACUGGCCAGAGACCGAUAGCGCACAAGUAGAGUGAUCGAAAGAUGAAAAGCACUUUGGAAAGAGAGUCAAAUAGCACGUGAAAUUGUUGAAAGGGAAGCGCUUGCAGCCAGACUUGCCUGUAGUUGCUUAUCCGGACUUUUGUCCGGUGCACUCUUCUGCAGGCAGGCCAGCAUCAGUUUGGGCGGUUGGAUAAAGGUCUCUAUCACGUACCUCCCUUCGGGGUUGGCCUUAUAGGGGAGACGUCAUGCAACCAGCCUGGACUGAGGUCCGCGCAUCUGCUAGGAUGCUGGCGUAAUGGCUGUAAGCGGCCCGUCUUGAAACACGGACCAAGGAGUCUAACAUCUAUGCGAGUGUUUGGGUGUCAAGCCCAGACGCGUAAUGAAAGUGAACGGAGGUGGGAACCUUUUAGGUGCACCAUCGACCGAUCCUGAUGUCUUCGGAUGGAUUUGAGUAAGAGCAUGGCUGUUGGGACCCGAAAGAUGGUGAACUAUGCUUGAAUAGGGUGAAGCCAGAGGAAACUCUGGUGGAGGCUCGCAGCGGUUCUGACGUGCAAAUCGAUCGUCAAAUUUG
rnacentral:rRNA from 1 species